AUGCAGUUCGCGGGAGAAGUUGUCCUUCGGGGCAGCGGAGACCGGCGGAUGGGUGAGUAAGGCGUAGGUAAUCUGCCGCAGGGCCGGGGAUAACAUCGCGAAAGCGGUGCUAAUACCCGAUGAUGCAGCGGCCCCGCAUGGGGACAGUUGUUAAAUCCCGACAGUAGUCGGGAGCCUUGUGAUGAACCUGCGUGCCAUUAGCUAGUUGGUGGGGUAAGGGCCUACCAAGGCGAUGAUGGCUAGGGGGUCUGAGAGGAUGAUCCCCCACACUGGGACUGAGACACGGCCCAGACUCCUACGGGAGGCAGCAGUGAGGAAUCUUGCGCAAUGGGGGCAACCCUGACGCAGCCACGCCGCGUGCUGGAAGACGGCCCUAUGGGUUGUAAACAGCUUUUACUGGGGAAGAACCUGGAGGUUUCGAUCUCCACUGACGGUACCCAGUGAAUAAGCACCGGCUAACUCCGUGCCAGCAGCCGCGGUAAUACGGAGGGUGCAAGCGUUGUCCGGAAUCAUUGGGUGUAAAGGGUGCGCAGGCGGAAGUCUAAGUCGGAGGUGAAAUCUUGCCGCUUAACGGUAAAAGGGCCUUCGAAACUGGAUUUCUUGAGUUCGGAAGAGGCCGGUGGAAUUCGUGGUGUAGCGGUGAAAUGCAUAGAUAUCACGAAGAACACCAGUGGCGAAAGCGGCCGGCUGGUCCGACACUGACGCUGAGGCACGAGAGCGUGGGGAGCGAACAGGAUUAGAUACCCUGGUAGUC
rnacentral:rRNA from 1 species